rnacentral:lncRNA from 10 species
AGGCGACGAUGCAGAGGGCUGUAAGUGUGGUGGCCCGUCUGGGCUUUCGCCUGCAGGCAUUCCCCCCGGCCUUGUGUCGUCCACUUAGUUGCGCACAGGUGGGAUAGAGGGUGCUGAUCUUGGAGGGUGGGGGAGGGAAGCGGCUGGGGGCUAGGGCCCUGGUGGCACUAAGCCCAGCCGCCCACAGGAGGUGCUCCGCAGGACACCGCUCUAUGACUUCCACCUGGCCCACGGCGGGAAAAUGGUGGCGUUUGCGGGUUGGAGUCUGCCAGUGCAGUACCGGGACAGUCACACUGACUCGCACCUGCACACACGCCAGCACUGCUCGCUCUUUGACGUGUCUCAUAUGCUGCAGGUGAGCCAGGGGAGCACACUGGCCAUCUGAUCAGGCCUUCCUCCCUGUUUACAGUGGUCCACUCCUUGGCUUUGUUUGCUGUGAACUGGAUUCCAAGGACAGCCUUCUCAGAAGAGCUAGAGGUCAUGGGGGUGUCAUGGAUAGGUCAAUGGCCCCAAGGAAAUGAGCUCAGAGGGUCUCAUCAUCUCAUCCUUCUAGCUUGCCCCCAUUAAAUGGUGUGCCUUAAUGUCCCGGGUUUUCCAGGGCUGACACCCACUCUCAUGUAUUGGGCUGGAUGUUGGUUUGAAAAGGGGUUAUUUCAGGAAGGUGCUAGGUCCUGUCCAGUUCCCUGGCAGUCCCCCCACACAGAGUGACUGGGGGAGGUCAGGAAAUCAGAAGGUGGUCCUUUGCCACGUGUAGAACCAAAAGACUGGUUAGUCACUUUGGGUGGGCUGGACUGCACUGUGGAUGGCAGGGAGGAUGCAUCCUUGCUUAGUAGCCUUUUGGAUUGUAGCUGUUGCAAUGGCCUGAGGCUUUCAAUCUCUUCCCCAGACCAAGAUACUUGGUAGUGACCGGGUGAAGCUGAUGGAGAGUCUAGUGGUUGGAGACAUUGCAGAGCUAAGACCAAACCAGGUGGGCCCUUUUAUUUCUGCUCUAUGAGUUUUCUUAGUCAUGAGCCAGCAAAUGGGCUGAGUCCCUACCUCAGGCUUAGGGGCACAGAGAUGAGUCAAACACAGCUUCUCAGGGCUUGCAGUCUUGGACAGAAUCCCUGAGUCAUUUCCAGAGACACAGACAUUUGUAGGGAGGGGAAUAUCCCAGUCUUACUACAUCAGGCUAGGAGGCCAGAAACCAAGGUUAAUAUGCUGCUCUCUGGCCAUCCCUUCUGCUUAACCCCUCUCUAUUCAACAUGUGGUCCCUGGCCAGGCGACGUGACUCAAACACCUGUAAUCCUGGCACUUGGGGAGGCCAAGGCGGGUGGAUCACCUGAGGUCAGGAGUUCGAGACCAGCCUGGCCAACAUGGCAAAACCUCGUUUCUACUAAAAACACAAAAAUUAGCCGGGCGUGGUGGCGCGUGCUUGUAGUCCCAGCUACUCGGGAGGCUGAGGUUGCAGCAAGCUGAGGUUGCACCACUGCACUCUGGCCUGGGCAACAGAGUGAGACUCAGUCUAAAAAGAAAAAUAACAACAACAAAGUGUGGUCUCUAAACCAGCAUCUUUGGAGCUUGUUAGGAAUAUAGUCUCAGGCACUGCUGCAGACCUGCUGAAUCAGAACCUUCAUUUUAACAAGAUCCCCAGGUGAUUCAUGUGACCCCCUCAACCUCAGGCUUUUUGUCCAUCCAGUGGGGAGGCUAAGGAAGUUUUUUGGGGGCAUUGCUAUGGAGUACUUAGGAGAGCCUGCGAUCAUCAAGAUGACCUUUGAAGCUUUUGUCCUGUGGGUUGCCACAUGGGCUAAGUCGUCCCAGGUUUGGGUAGGUGAAGCAGCAGGUCCUAGGUGUCAUAGAUUAAGUGUCAGAUGGGACUCUCAGUACAGAGUGGGGAGGGGUGCAGAGGUUGCACCAGAUCAGGGAAGCACCCCAAGGUAGGGAGGGGAUGAAAACUUACUUGAUGCAUGAGGAUCAAAGACCUUGGACUUGGGCCCAGACUUGUACCUUGCACACCCUGAGUCCUUCACAUUAGGGUUCAUAACCUUUUGGUAACUAAGUGGGUCCAGGGUUGUGUCUGGCUCACCCUUGGCCUUGCCCUCCUGGACCUGGAAGCCAAAACGCUCCACUUUGGUCCUAGGGGACACUGUCGCUGUUUACCAACGAGGCUGGAGGCAUCUUAGAUGACUUGAUUGUAACCAAUACUUCUGAGGGCCACCUGUAUGUGGUGUCCAACGCUGGCUGCUGGGAGAAAGAUUUGGCCCUCAUGCAGGUAUACCCCCUCUGUGUUCUAGACACCUUGUCUUCCUUGUUCAUAGAGCAGUAUCCUUGUUGUCCAAGACAGGGUUGGCACAGACAAGGGACCUGGAAAAUGGCUCUUUCAGUGAAUGAACAGCUAUGAGACUCAAGAGCAGGCCCUCUCUGGAGCACGCCAGGGUUUGGUGGUGGGGGAUUACCAGGCAUGGGGAGGGGGUCUUGGCCCCUCUGGUGUGAGGUGGCAGAACUGGGCUUGGGUCAUCUCUAUCACUUAGUAGCUAUGUGACCUUGUAAGAUGGGAACCAGCCUACUACCUUUUUUUUUCCUCCCUCCUCCUCCUCCUCUCCACUGUCCUACUACUGUCCAGCUCUGCAGCGUCCAGCCCAUGGUAGCUGCUCAGUAAGUGGCCCCAGAUGCUCUUGUGUUUCUGUCUUUUAGGACAAGGUCAGGGAGCUUCAGAACCAGGGCAGAGAUGUGGGCCUGGAGGUGUUGGAUAAUGCCCUGCUAGCUCUGCAAGGUACUGUGACUAGUGGCUGCCCCUCCCCCUCUCUGAAGAAGAAUGUGGCGAUGGGUUAUGUGCCCUGCGAGUACAGUCGUCCAGGGACAAUGCUGCUGGUAGAGGUGCGGCGGAAGCAGCAGAUGGCUGUAGUCAGCAAGAUGCCCUUUGUGCCCACAAACUACUAUACCCUCAAGUGAAGCUGGCUCAGGGUGGGGCUGUCCCUUCCAGGAGUUUUGCCCCUACAAGGGGUUAGUCAAGAAGCUGAGGCAGAACUCACUGGGGGUGGGCAGUUAAGGUGGAGGCUGAUUCUAAUUGUCUGGUUGAGGGGCCACACCACCUAUUCCCCCCACCUAACUCAUGCCAUUCCAGCUUCCUUCAGGACCCUGCUUCUGAGUGACGGACCAGCUCACACAAUGUCUUGUUUCAGUCCAUGAUCCCACUGACCUACUCUUGCCUGCUGGAGGGUAAUGAGAAGCUUUGGUUCUGCCAUCUCUCCCACUCUGCCAGGUGCUGGCUGUGGAGCAAAGGCUCACCUUUGUGGAGAGGAUAAAACCUGCCCAACCUACCUCACCAUGGUUUUUCACAUUGCAAAGGGUAAUAACAUGGGCAGUGCGGACUUAGGCUACCCCCUCCAGUUUGCUUUCCGUAAAUGCAAAUUGUCCUUACUGCAAGUCAGGAAUGAUUGCUGACUCACAGUAGGGCUGCUAUGCCUGUGUGUAAACUUGGGGAUGGCUGAGGGAACAUAGACUCACUCUUCCACAUUCCCAAGUUGG